rnacentral:rRNA from 1 species
GCAGGGGGCAAGCGUNAUCCGGAUCNACUGGGUGUAAAGGGAGCGUAGACGGUNUAGCAAGUCUGAAGUGAAAGCCCGGGGCNCAACCCCGGUACNGCNNUGGAAACNGUUAGACNNGAGUGCAGGAGAGGUAAGUGGAAUNCCUAGUGUAGCGGUGAAAUGCGUAGAUAUUAGGAGGAACACCAGUGGCGAAGGCGGCUUACUGGACUGUAACUGACGUUGAGGCUCGAAAGCGUGGGGAGCAAACAGGAUUAGAUACCCUGGUAGUCCACGGUAAACGAUGAAUACUCGCUGUUUGCGAUAUACGGCAAGCGGCCAAGCGAAAGCGUUAAGUAUUCCACCUGGGGAGUACGCCGGCAACGGUGAAACUCAAAGGAA